rnacentral:rRNA from 1 species
ACGGAAGGCAGCAGUGGGGAAUAUUGCACAAUGGGGGAAACCCUGAUGCAGCGACGCCGCGUGAGUGAAGAAGUAUUUCGGUAUGUAAAGCUCUAUCAGCAGGGAAGAAAACAAUGACGGUACCUGACUAAGAAGCCCCGGCUAACUACGUGCCAGCAGCCGCGGUAAUACGUAGGGGGCAAGCGUUAUCCGGAUUUACUGGGUGUAAAGGGAGCGUAGACGGUGAGGCAAGUCUGAAGUGAAAGCCCGGAGCUCAACCCCGGGACUGCUUUGGAAACUGUCUGACUAGAGUGCAGGAGAGGUAAGUGGAAUUCCUAGUGUAGCGGUGAAAUGCGUAGAUAUUAGGAGGAACACCAGUGGCGAAGGCGGCUUACUGGACUGUAACUGACGUUGAGGCUCGAAAGCGUGGGGAGCAAACAGGAUUAGAUACCCUGGUA